rnacentral:rRNA from 1 species
AUGGCUCAGUGAGGCCUUGGGACUGGCUCAGAGAGGUCGGCAACGACCACUCAGAGCCGGAAACUUGGUCAAACUUGGUCAUUUAGAGGAAGUAAAAGUCGUAACAAGGUUUCCGUAGGUGAACCUGCGGAAGGAUCAUUACCGAGUUAGGGGUCUCCGGCCCCGACCUCCAACCCUAUGUUUACUUAAAAUUGUUGCUUCGGCGGGCCCGUCUUAGUGCUUCGUGCUUGAGACCGCUGGGGAGAAAUCCCUUGCCCGCGUCCGUCGAUAGCCCUACUUUUAAAUUCUUGAUGAACUGUGUCGGCUGAGUGUCUUAAUAAAUAAGCACAAAACUUUCAACAACGGAUCUCUUGGUUCUGGCAUCGAUGAAGAACGCAGCGAAAUGCGAUAAGUAAUGCGAAUUGCAGAUUCCGUGAGUCAUCGAAUCUUUGAACGCACAUUGCGCCCUUUGGUAUUCCGAAGGGCAUGCCUGUUCGAGCGUCAUUAUCAACCCUCAAGCCCGGCUUGAUGUUGGACCCAAGUCGCGCCUGCGACUGGUCUCAAAGAGAACGCCGGCGUCACGAGCACCCUCGGUACAAUGAGCUUUCAUGAGCACGUACUGCAGCGGCCUCGGGGCCUGGUUUUACAUCUAUUUUCUAAGGUUGACCUCGGAUCAGGUAGGGAUACCCGCUGAACUUAAGCAUAUCAAUAAGCGGAGGAAAAGAAACCAACAGGGAUUGCCUUAGUAACGGCGAGUGAAGCGGCAACAGCUCAAAUUUGAAAUCUGGCCUCUUCGGGGUCCGAGUUGUAAUUUGGAGAGGAUGCUUUGGGUACCGCCCCGGUUUAAAUUUCUUGGAACAGAAUGCCACAGAGGGUGAGAGUCCCGUCUGGAACCGGUGGUAGGGCUCGUGUAAAGCUCCUUCGACGAGUCGAGUUGUUUGGGAAUGCAGCUCAAAAUGGGUGGUAAAUUUCAUCUAAAGCUAAAUAUUGGCCAGAGACCGAUAGCGCACAAGUAGAGUGAUCGAAAGAUGAAAAGCCCUUUGAAAAGAGAGUUAAACAGUAUGUGAAAUUGUUGAAAGGGAAGCGCUUACGACCAGACUUGUGUGCAGUGGUUCCCCCUUCCUUCUGGUUGGGCUACUCCGCUGUACUCAGGCCAACAUCGGUUUUGGUGACCGGUUAAAGGCUCCGGGAAUGUAUCUUCCCCUCGGGGAAGACUUAUAGCCCGGGGUGUCAUGCGGCCUACCGAGACCGAGGCACGCGCUUCGGCGAGGAUGUUGGCGUAAUGGUCGUCAGCGACCCGUCUUGAAACACGGACCAAGGAGUCUAACAUCUAUGCGAGUGUUUGGGUGUCAAACCCUCACGCGGAAUGAAAGUGAACGGAGGUAGGAAGCUUUGGCUGCACUAUCGACCGAUCCUGAUGUCUUCGGAUGGAUUUGAGUAAGAGCAUAGCUGUUGGGACCCGAAAGAUGGUGAACUAUGCCUGAAUAGGGUGAAGCCAGAGGAAACUCUGGUGGAGGCUCGCAGCGGUUCUGACGUGCAAAUCGAUCGUCAAAUUUGGGUAUAGGGGCGAAAGACUAAUCGAACCAU